UACGGAGGAUCCAAGCGUUAUCCGGAUUUAUUGGGUUUAAAGGGUGCGUAGGUGGGAUAAUAAGUCAGGGGUGAAAGCUAGCAGCUUAACUGUUAAAUUGCCUUUGAUACUGUUAUUCUUGAGUAUAGUUGGCGUUGGCGGAAUGUGACAUGUAGCGGUGAAAUGCGUAGAUAUGUCACAGAACACCGAUCGCGAAGGCAGCUAACGAAACUAUCACUGACACUGAUGCACGAAAGCGUGGGGAGCAAACAGG
rnacentral:rRNA from 1 species